UCUCAUCCAAACCAAUUAAUUUGAGGUCUAUGUUUCAAAUUUCUAGCAGGGGAUAGGAUAAGGCUGUUAUGGUAUUUGGUAUUUAAAGUCUAUAUAAAGCCUAUUCCAAAAUAAUUACCUAAAAUCAGUUUAGUGUUUGUAGAUCAAGCAUGUCAAACUAGCAUCCCACAUUAAUAUAUUUGCAGCCCACCUGGCCUGGGGCCACUUUGUGCUGUGGCUGCGACCAGCCGCAAGACAGGAAAGAUAUUUCCUGUCUGAUUCUUGUCUUCCCUCCCAUGGCUGAUCAAGUGCUCCCAUGGCCACAAGAGCGCAGAUUGACUGUCUGUCUGCAGAGCUGGCCAGCCACACCCCCUUCCCUCCUGCUCGCAGUGAUCC